rnacentral:rRNA from 1 species
GAUGAACGCUGGCGGCGUGCCUAAUACAUGCAAGUCGAGCGAACAGACGAGGAGCUUGCUCCUCUGACGUUAGCGGCUGACGGGUGAGUAACACGUGGAUAACCUACCUAUAAGACUGGGAUAACUUCGGGAAACCGGAGCUAAUACCGGAUAAUAUAUUGAACCGCAUGGUUCAAUAGUGAAUGACGGUUUUGCUGUCACUUAUAGAUGAUUCCGCGCCGCAUUAGCUAGUUGGUAAGGUAACGGCUUACCAAGGCAACGAUGCGUAGCCGACCUGAGAGGGUGAUCGGCCACACUGGAACUGAGACACGGUCCAGACUCCUACGGGAGGCAGCAGUAGGGAAUCUUCCGCAAUGGGCGAAAGCCUGACGGAGCAACGCCGCGUGAGUGAUGAAGGUCUUCGGAUCGUAAAACUCUGUUAUUAGGGAAGAACAAAUGUGUAAGUAACCAUGCACGUCUUGACGGUACCUAAUCAGAAAGCCACGGCUAACUACGUG